UUCCCUUCGGGGACAUUGGUGACAGGUGGUGCAUGGUUGUCGUCAGCUCGUGUCGUGAGAUGUUGGGUUAAGUCCCGCAACGAGCGCUACUCUUGUCUUUAGUUGCCAUCAUUAAGUUGGGCACUCUAGAGAGACUGCCAGGGAUAACCUGGAGGAAGGUGGGGAUGACGUCAAAUCAUCAUGCCCCUUAUGCUUAGGGCUACACACGUGCUACAAUGGGUAGUACAGAGGGUUGCCAAGCCGUAAGGUGGAGCUAAUCCCUUAAAGCUACUCUCAGUUCGGAUUGUAGGCUGAAACUCGCCUACAUGAAGCUGGAGUUACUAGUAAUCGCAGAUCAGAAUGCUGCGGUGAAUGCGUUCCCGGGUCUUGUACACACCGCCCGUCACACCACGGGAGUUGGAGACGCCCGAAGCCGACUAUCUAACCUUUUGGAAGAAGUCGUCGAAGGUGGAAUCAAUAACUGGGGUGAAGUCGUAACAAGGUAGCCGUAUCGGAAGGUGCGGCUGGAUCACCUCCUUUCUAAGGA
rnacentral:rRNA from 1 species